CCUGGACUAAAACUGAAGCUGAAUUGGUCUGCAAGGAGCUUGGAUGUGGGGAACUGAUUUAUACUAAAGUCGAACGUCAAAAUUCAAGAGGGAUAAUGGACCAUGUGAGGUGCAAAGGCAGCGAGUCCUCACUGUGGCACUGUCAUUCUCAGCAUGGCAAGAACAUCCAGUGUUCAAACCAACCUUAUGUGGUGUGUUCAGGCAGUGUGGAGGUGAAACUGGCAGAUGGUCCUGGAAGAUGUGCUGGAAGAUUGGAGAUAAAGCAUGA